rfam:Bacteroidia bacterium 43-41 SCNpilot_bf_inoc_scaffold_131, whole genome shotgun sequence.
AACAAUGUGGACAGAUUUGAACUGCUUGCAACCACAGAAAAAAAUGCUAAAACGAAAUUC